GAAGCUGACCAGACAGUCGCCGCUUCGUCGUCGUCCUUUCGGGGAGACGGGCGGAGGGGAGGAAAGUCCGGGCUCCAUAGGGCAGGGUGCCAGGUAACGCCUGGGGGGGAAACCCACGACAAGUGCAACAGAGAGCAAACCGCCGAUGGCCCACGUAAGUGGGAUCAGGUAAGGGUGAAAGGGUGCGGUAAGAGCGCACCGCGCGGCUGGUAACAGUCCGUGGCACGGUAAACUCCACCCGGAGCAAGGCCAAAUAGGGGUUCAUAAGGUACGGCCCGUACUGAACCCGGGUAGGCUGCUUGAGCCAGUGAGCGAUUGCUGGCCUAGAUGAAUGACUGUCCACGACAGAACCCGGCUUAUCGGUCAGUUUCACCU
rnacentral:RNase_P_RNA from 1 species